CUCAGAGACCAAGCUUCCAUAGAGGAAGAAUUCCCAAAAUCAUCCAUCACAGAGAAGGCUUUUAAAAUACCUUUGGAGACUGCAAUGAAGAAAGAAUGGACACCAUCAGUGUCCCUGCUUCUGAAGUCCCCGGGAGUGCAGAGGCAGAGGCCAGGCAUGCACUGCUCCUCAUGCUACCCUCAGCCCAGCACCGACUCGCAUAUGGAGAACCCAAGCUCUCCAAAGAGAGAGGCAUCUUCUCUGCCCAGGUGUCCCUCAAUGCCAAGCACAGACAAUGCAUGAGAUGGAUUCCUGGUGUAUUCGCAGUGAUGUAAGUCAUUCAGUAGGUGCAGAGUGACUGAUCCUGCAGCAGGGAGUCCAGGCCAUUUUCCCUUGACAAAUGUUGAGCCAUUUGCUCUCAAAAGUGAUUGCUCCACUUAUCGCCAAGGAGGUGGAAGCUGGGGCACCCUGCUGCAGACUGAAUAUUUAGGUCUCCUCAGAAUGAAUGUGUUGAAAACGAAUCCCCAAAGUGCUAGAAUUUGGAAGCAGGGAUUUGGGGAGGAGAUAAGGUCAUGAGGGCAGAGAUCUCAUGAGUGGACCUAGUGCCUGUAUGAAAAAGGACCCCAGAGAAAGCCCUUCUGCUUUCACAUAUGAAGACACAACAAGGCAAAGAUGGCUGUCAAUGAGUCAAGAAGUGAGCCUCACCAGGCACUGAAUCUGCCAGCACCUCGAACCGGGAGUUUUCAGCUGUUGAAUUAGGAGAAGUAAACUUCUGUGGCUUACAAACCACAGAAUUCACCGCAUUUUCAUAUCGCAGCCCUCACUGAUGAAGACACACCCUGCAUCACCUUCACAAUUAGUCUGGUUCAGGCAGGAGCUGUGCCGCAGAGGAGAACGUUCCUGAGACUCUGGUGGAGCAAGACUCCGCCAUGCUGGCCCAGCUCUAUUCUUAGCCACGCUCACAGCCGUUCUGGGGAGAAGGCUGGUUGUUGUUAAGCUUCGGCAGCGUCUGGCUUUCUCCGUCCAAUCUUCGCUGCAGCCUUCUGUUUCCGCCUUCAGGUACAUGAUUCGUUCCUGUCCUUGUAUCAAAGUGGGGAGGGGGGCCAUCUGGAAGAGGUGCCGCAUCCUCUCCUCACUCGGCUCCAGCUCCGCUGUAUUCCCGACUCCCACCUCCGUUAUCUGGGCCUUCAUGUUAUUUUUACAAGACUUGGCUCAAAGUCCAGAUUAGCAUUGUCUUAUUAGAGCCUGAAUGAUUUUCCUUCUCUGGGGUGGUCACCAUCUUCAUGGGUGGAUGAAGUUCCCUUAGAUCAGGUCCAGGGUGACGUGCCGAGACAAGUCACAGGCACCCACACUCCAGGCGCAGUCACUGGCUCUGUGUCCCAUCUGGACAAAGACUCCUUCUAGGCUGCCUUCUAGCCCCUGAGGCCCUGCCAAGAACAGGCUGCUGAGACUCAGAGCUCUCUCUCUGAGGCUACACUGCAGGAAGGAAGUACACUGCCUGUCAGUCUUUGGUAUAGGUUACAACCCAAGGAAGAAGGCAGAAUGCGCAUUUAGAGUCCUCUGAUCUCACUGUAACUUCGUUCAUUCAUUCAUUCAGUACUUAUUCAUAUAUUUAGCUCGUGAGUUCCUGGACGAGCUCAAGUUUCCCCAUUAAGCAAGCACUUUGUGGACCAUGGGCAUGGGGGCCAGCAGCUCAUUAAAGAGACAGUCCCGGGAAAUACAAAUGAAAGAGCAGAACUGUGAAAACAGGAAAGGAAUAAAGACUGCCUUUGGUGUACUCAUGAGGUUUUUACCACUGAGUAUAAGGAAGGGCUCAGUCUUGUGUCUCUGAGGACCUGGGGAGAACCCAGGGUCAAGGGACAUAGUCACUGACCCCUAUCUCCCAUUGAUUGAGAGUUCUUUUGGGGACAUUAAGUCCCCAGCACUUUCACUUCUUAUAAGUGUCUGAGCAAGCUCCCAUGGUUCUUCAGGCAGAAAAAUCUGUCAGUGGCUGGGCAGUGUUCAUGGAAGUUACAAAAAGAUUCAAAGGGAAGGGCAGGGGACACAGAGUAAAGCACCAAGAACAUGUACUUCUGGCCAUGUUGUUCAUUUUGCUGAUGCUGAUCAGAUGCUAGCACCAAGGACCAGGAGGAUGCCCCGAUUUGGCUCUGAACCCUUUUGCCAUCCAAGAACCAACUGUAUUUUUUGAUGGUUUGAAAGCCGUCCUUACAGGAAGCCUCUGGGGGGUAGUGUGGUUCUGUUGGUCUGGAGUUUAAGUGUGGCUCUGGGGCCACAACUCUGCCUUAUCCAUGGAUUCAUUGAUAAAUGUGCAAACACGAAGCAUAAAUGAGGCUCCUCUCAUGGGUCUAGGGAUGAGCCAGCCAAGGCCCCUGUCCCCAAAUGACCCAUCCAAGUCUAGGUGGAAACAAACACAGCCCACCGUGGCGUGCUGCAGUCCAAAGAGAUUUGCUGUGGGAUCACAGAAUAGAAAUUGCAAUGGACCCACAGCGGAAUAGUAAAGACUCAGUGGAAGAGAUGAUACCUAAUUUUAUACCAUUAUGAACAGCAGUGAUUGAGGAUUCCUUCUGCCAGUUACAAUUUUAAUUUUCAUUUGGAAGGCCAGGGCUGCAGCAGGAUGGAUCUCCUUCCCAGGCAGGCUGACUUCUGUCAGUAACAGAAUCUGUCACUCUCACCCUGAUCUGCAUGGCAGUGAAACUUGUUCAGAAAUCACAGCGAGGGCAUCCUAGUACACCCGCCUACAGAAACUUUAUGCCUCAAGCCAAGUCUUCGGUCUUCACCCAUUCAAGCUUUUUUUUUUUUUUUUUUUGGUUUUUCUCUGGUACCAGGAACCGAACUCACGACCUUGCGCUUGCCAGGCAGGCGCUUUUGCCGCUGAGCUAAA
ensembl:lincRNA